rnacentral:misc_RNA from 1 species
AAGUCGUGACAAGGUUUCCGUAGGUGAACCUGCGGAAGGAUCAUUACCAAAUCCAAAUUUAUCCAACCCCUUGUGAACUAUUGUUUAGUCUUGUCUUUGGGAAAGAAUAUUAUUGGAAAGCAAAACUUUUUUGUUUUUCAAUGAUAUUUUUUCCCAAAAGAAUCCGGCUUGUCUGGAUUCUUUAAAACCCUUUAUUAAACCACUUAUUUAUUGUUGGAAUUUUUCUUUUAUAAUUUAUAAAUAAAAGACAACUUUUAACGGUGGAUCUCUUGGCUCGUG